rnacentral:rRNA from 1 species
UGCCAGCCGCCGCGGUAAUACUGAAGGUGCAAGCGUUAAUCGGAAUCACUGGGCGUAAAGCGCUCGUAGGUGGCUUUGUAAGUCAGAUGUGAAAGCCCACGGCUCAACCGUGGAAUUGCAUUUGAUACUGUAAACCUAGAAUAUGGGAGAGGUAGAUGGAAUUUCUGGUGUAGGAGUGAAAUCCGUAGAGAUCAGAAGGAACACCGGUGGCGAAGGCGACUUCCUGGACUAUUACUGACACUGAGGAGCGAAAGCGUGGGGAGCAAACAGGAUUAGAUA